ACGGAGGAAAUGCGGAAAGAACGACUCAGGCAAGCAAAGACAUCCCAAAAAGACUGGACCAAGGUGGCCAGAAGUUGGGAAUACGGUGAGAUCGCGGAGUUAAUGAACAGCGCAGAUCCCUGCCGUGCACUCAUUGAGAGAUUGGAGAGCAAAGGCUUUUUUGUGCUCAAUAACCCAGGACGCUCCACGGCAGAUGUCGUGACAAACAAAAAUGAAGUGGUGAACAAUGUUCCGGGUAGCCCUGGGGAACAACAGAACCAUGUCCUGGACAGGUGAAUAUUACAUUACAUUACAUGUAUGCAUUUAGCAGAUGCUUUUAUCCAAAGCGACUUACAAACGAGGAUUAACAAUCAAGCUACAUAGAGGGAAGUGUGUAGAAGAAAGUAGUGCUGUACAGGGUGGAGAGGGUAAUGCAGGGUAAGUGCUAAGACAGGAGGUGCUCUCUAAAGAGUUGGGUCUUGAAGUUUCUUGAAGCUGGAAAGAGACACCCCUGUUCUCUUGUGUGUUCCUCAAAAAGACCAGAUCUUGAUUUCACAACUGACGAUGCUGGGACCUCUGCCACCUAUCCCCAGCAGUGCAGUGCUCUAAAUAUAAACUAAAUUCAUUGUAUCGAAGGAAAACCACUUGGUAAAGGUUAGGAAGCAGUCGAGUGCCAGGAGAAGGCACUGCACCAUCCUCCCUGGAAUGUUUUACCCCCACACGUGUCGUUGAAGAUGAGGCAGGAGUAUCCAAGAGACCCCUGAGUAUCCAAUCCUCCAGAUAAUGGAGCCCAACUUGUAUUUUGAGCCAGCGACCUCCGAGCUGACCUUGCGGCCAUCUCAGGAGGCGCGGGCUUUCACCAAGUUCAUUGUGAAGGACUCACGCAUAACCAGAGGAGCAAAGCCAUGAUGAGGGACACCAUCGCCAUUGCGGUUUCCGGGGCCCAGCGCUCCCCAGACUGCUGCGAAGCCCCUGCCUCCUCCUCCUCCUCCUCAGCAGCCGCCCCAUCAACCGGUGCCAGCGCGGACGCCACCGCCGGCGCAGAGGCUGGUGCCACCUCCUCCGCAGCCGCAGCCUCCACUGCUCCAACAGUGUCAAGGAGCACCGCCUGGAGGCAUAAGCUCCAGGCGGAGAAAGAGCGCCGUGCCCGGGAGCUGGGAGAGGACCUCAAGCCAGCGAAGAAGGUCACGCACUUCAACUGCAGGCGCUGUGGCCAACCUAGAACCAGAGAGUUUGGCCACAGCGCUACAAGAAGGAGACCUUCUGCUCCCGGGCCGAAGGGAGAGGGAGAACUGUGGAGCAGUGGCUGGCAGAAAUGGAGCUGAGGGAUGAGGCAGCUCUCCCUCCUUGAGUGGACACUGUGUGUGUGUGUGUGAUGGGGCAGCUCCCCCUCCCUGAGCGGACACUUUGUGAGUGUGUGUGUGUGUGUGUGUGUGAGUGUUUGUUUGUUUGUAAAUAUUGUGUAUAUAGUUUGUGUUUCA